rnacentral:rRNA from 1 species
UGGGGAAUAUUGCACAAUGGAGGGAACUCUGAUGCAGCGACGCCGCGUGAGUGAUGAAGGAAUUCGUUUCGUAAAACUCUGUUCUAUGGGAAGAAAAGGACUGUACCAUAGGAGAAAGCUCCGGCUAAAUACGUGCCAGCAGCCGCGGUAAUACGUAUGGAGCGAGCGUUGUCCGGAAUUAUUGGGCGUAAAGGGUGCGCAGGCGGCUUUACAAGUUGGAUGUGAAAUAUUGUGGUUCAACCACAAACGUGCAUCCAAAACUGCAAAGCUUGAGUUAAGGAGAGGUAAGUGGAAUUCCUGGUGUAGCGGUGGAAUGCGUAGAUAUCAGGAGGAAUACCGGUGGCGAAGGCGACUUACUGGACUUAAACUGACGCUCAGGCACGAAAGCGUGGGGAGCAAACAGG